AUUGAACGCUGGCGGCAGGCCUAACACAUGCAAGUCGAACGAGAGACGGACGGGUGAGUAAUGUAUGGGAACCUGCCCGCAGGAGGGGGCUAACCACUGGAAACGCUAGCUAAUCCCGCAUACCAUCGGAUGUCCCCAGAUGGGAUUAGCUUGUAGGGGAGGUAACGGCUCACGUAGGCGACGCUCCCUAGCUGGUCUGAGAGGAUGACCAGCCACACUGGAACUGAGACACGGUCCAGACUCCUACGGGAGGCAGCAGUGGGGAAUAUUGCACAAUGGGCGCAAGCCUGAUGCAGCCAUGCCGCGUGGAUGAAGAAGGCCUUCGGGUUGUAAAGUACUUUCAGCGGGGAGGCGUUACCCGCAGAAGAAGCACCGGCUAACUACGUGCCAGCAGCCGCGGUAAUUC
rnacentral:rRNA from 1 species